rnacentral:rRNA from 1 species
CCUACGGGCGGCUGCAGUGGGGAAUAUUGCACAAUGGGCGCAAGCCUGAUGCAGCCAUGCCGCGUGUGUGAAGAAGGCCUUCGGGUUGUAAAGCACUUUCAGCGGGGAGGAAGGCGGUGAGGUUAAUAACCUCAUCGAUUGACGUUACCCGCAGAAGAAGCACCGGCUAACUCCGUGCCAGCAGCCGCGGUAAUACGGAGGGUGCAAGCGUUAAUCGGAAUUACUGGGCGUAAAGCGCACGCAGGCGGUCUGUCAAGUCGGAUGUGAAAUCCCCGGGCUCAACCUGGGAACUGCAUUCGAAACUGGCAGGCUAGAGGCUUGUAAAGGGGGGUAGAAUUCCCGGGGUAGCGGUGAAAUGCGUAGAGAUCUGGAGGAAUACCGGGGGCGAAGGCGGCCCCCUGGACAAAGACUGACGCUCAGGUGCGAAAGCGGGGGGAGCAAACAGGAUUAGAUACCCUGGUAGUC